rnacentral:rRNA from 1 species
UACAGAGGUCCCGAGCGUUGUUCGGAUUCAUUGGGCGUAAAGGGUGCGUAGGCGGCGGGGCAAGUCUGAUGUGAAAUCCCGGGGCUCAACCCCCGGAACUGCAUUGGAUACUGCCGUGCUCGAGGACUGGAGAGGAGUCUGGAAUUCACAGUGGAGCAGUGAAAUGCGUAGAUAUUGUGAGGAACACUAGUGGCGAAGGCGAGACUCUGGACAGUUCCUGACGCUGAGGCACGAAGGCCAGGGGAGCAAACGGG